CUGUACUAAAAGAUUUACUGCAUACCAAAGAAACCUGAAUCUCAUCGAAAGCUUUGAAUCGCAACAAUUGAGCUGGACAAGUGGAACCGACUGACAACUUUUGACACAUUGUCUAUGACUCCUCCCACCUUCCGCGCUGUUCUCGUACUGUGCUGGCUGAAACAUUCCCACGGUCCUUUCUUUCUGAGCAGCUGGUAAAGCAAGGAGUCAUGUACGUGGACGCACUGGUCUUUUAAACAACUCGGACCUGGUAAAAAAAAACAAAAAAAAACAACAACAACAACAACAAAAAAAAACACCACUGCCUGGAAGCUCUGUGACCAGUCAUGUAUGAGACAUUUUUAUACCGAGACAGAUACGAUGGCGUCAUCAGAGGGCCACAUUGGAUCUGUACAGCUCUGCAGUGUGUGUGUGCGUCUUUCAAUAACCUGAUGAUGAGGACAGGCUUCAUCUCUGUUAUUACUGAUGAGUGAACACUGCGUACUGGGCCCUCGUUCUCCAAGACCAGCAACAACUCCUCCCUGCCACCAUGGGCUCACCCAGUCCCUCAAUAACCCCUCUGCUAGUGACCUUCACCCCUGAUGCUAAUAAUAAUAAUAAUACACAAAGGCAAUCCAUGUAAGAAAAUGCCAUAAAUCUCACACACACACACGCCCUUUUUGAGAAUUUAAGCUUUCGUAUAUAUGAAAGUUAUCCCGCUCAUUUGUUCACAUAUCAAAUAAUAUGUAAGUAUCCCUUCAUUGCUUAAAGUGUAAAUCAAAAAGUCAGGUCACAGAGACUUGAUCAUUUUGUGAGGAUGAGCAACAACGAGAAUCAAUGAUGCUCGCAAUACAUAAGGGCUAAAGUAUUUAACGAUUUUACCAAAUCAUUUGCAGAACAAAUAUUUUUGUCUAAUAUUUUGCCAUUUUCCCACUGUGCCUGCCUGUAGUCGUGCUGCUGGAUCCUUCCUCCACACUGAAAAGAUCCCUCAGCUUUCCAGAUUUGGGU